rnacentral:rRNA from 1 species
UACGUAGGGUGCAAGCGUUAAUCGGAAUUAUUGGGCGUAAAGAGCUCGUAGGCGGUUUGUCGCGUCUGCUGUGAAAACCCGAGGCUCAACCUCGGGCCUGCAGUGGGUACGGGCGAGACUAGAGUGCGGUAGGGGAGAUUGGAAUUCCUGGUGUAGCGGUGGAAUGCGCAGAUAUCAGGAGGAACACCAAUGGCGAAGGCAGAUCUCUGGGCCACUACUGACGCUGAGAAGCGAAAGCAUGGGGAGCGAACAGG